rnacentral:rRNA from 1 species
UACGUAGGGUGCAAGCGUUAUUCGGAAUUACUGGGCGUAAAGCGUGCGCAGGCGGUUGUGUAAGUCAGAUGUGAAAUCCCCGGGCUCAACCUGGGAACUGCAUUUGUGACUGCACAGCUGGAGUGCGGCAGAGGGGGAUGGAAUUCCGCGUGUAGCAGUGAAAUGCGUAGAUAUGCGGAGGAACACCGAUGGCGAAGGCAAUCCCCUGGGCCUGCACUGACGCUCAUGCACGAAAGCGUGGGGAGCAAACAGG